UGAGUAACCUGCCCUUCACUCUGGGAUAACUCCGGGAAACCGGGGCUAAUACUGGAUAUGACUCGAACAGGCAUCUGUUUCGGGUGGAAAGAUUUAUUGGUGGAGGAUGGACUCGCGGCCUAUCAGCUUGUUGGUGAGGUAAUGGCUCACCAAGGCAACGAUGCGUAGCCGACCUGAGAGGUNAUCGGCCACAUUGGAACUGAGACACGGUCCAGACCUCCGUACGGGGAGCA
rnacentral:rRNA from 1 species